UGGGGAAUAUUGCACAAUGGGCGCAAGCCUGAUGCAGCCAUGCCGCGUGUGUGAAGAAGGCCUUCGGGUUGUAAAGCACUUUCAGCGAGGAGGAAGGUGGUGAACUUAAUACGUCAUCAAUUGACGUUACUCGCAGAAGAAGCACCGGCUAACUCCGUGCCAGCAGCCGCGGUAAUACGGAGGGUGCAAGCGUUAAUCGGAAUUACUGGGCGUAAAGCGCACGCAGGCGGUUUGUUAAGUCAGAUGUGAAAUCCCCGGGCUCAACCUGGGAACUGCAUUUGAAACUGGCAAGCUAGAGUCUCGUAGAGGGGGGUAGAAUUCCAGGUGUAGCGGUGAAAUGCGUAGAGAUCUGGAGGAAUACCGGUGGCGAAGGCGGCCCCCCUGGACGAAGACUGACGCUCAGGUGCGAAAAGCGUGGGGCAGCAAACAGGAUUAGAUACCCUGGUAGUCCACGCUGUAAAACGAUGUCGAUUUGGAGGUUGUGCCCUUGAGGCGUGGCUUCCGGAGCUAACGCGUUAAA
rnacentral:rRNA from 1 species